rnacentral:misc_RNA from 1 species
AACGCACAUUGCGCCCCUCGGUAUUCCGGGGGGCAUGCCUGUUCGAGCGUCAUUGCACCCCUCAAGCGUAGCUUGGUCAUGGGCGUCGCCUCCCCCGGCGCGCCCGAAAAGCAACGGCGGUCCGGCAGGGACUUCAAGCGUAGUAAAUUUCUCUCCCGCUUUGGAGGUCCCCGUCGGUCUGGCCGCGAACCCCCCUUGACAUACCAAUGAAUCGACCUCGGGUCAGGUAGGGAUACCCGCUGAACUUAA